AAAGCGUCCGUAGCUUGGUUGUUAAGUCUNUUGGGAAAUCUACCGGCUCAACCGGUAGGCGUUCAGGAGAUACUGNCAAUCUAGGGACCGGGAGAGGUGAGAGGUACUCCAGGGGUAGGAGUGAAAUCCUGUAAUCCUUGGGGGACCACCUGUGGCGAAGGCGUCUCACUAGAACGGNUCCGACAGUGAGGGACGAAAGCUGGGGGAGCAAACCGGAUUAGAUACCCGGGUAGUCCCAGCUGUAAACGAUGCGCGUUAGGUGUAUCGGUGACCACGAGUCACCGAGGUGCCGAAGGGAAACCGUGAAACGUGCCGCCUGGGAAGUACGGUCGCAAGGCUGAAACUUAAAGGAAUUGGCGGGGGAGCACCACAACAGGUGGAGCCUGCGGUUUAAUCGGACUCAACGCCGGAAAGCUCACCGGAUAAGACAGCGGAAUGAUAGCCGGGCUGAAGACUCUGCUUGACUAGCUAAGAGGAGGUGCAUGGCCGUCGUCAGUUCGUACUGUGAAGCAUCCUGUUAAGUCAGGCAACGAGCGAGACCCACGCCAACAGUUGCCAGCAUGUCCUCCGGGAUGAUGGGGACACUGUUGGGACCGCCUCUGCUAAAGAGGAGGAAGGAAUGGGCAACGCUAGGUCAGCAUGCCCCGAAUUAUCCGGGCUACACGCGGGCUACAAUGGACAGGACAAUGGGUAUCGACACCGAAAGGUGAAGGCAAUCUCUUAAACCUGCCCGUAGUUCGGAUUGUGGGCUGCAACUCGCCCACAUGAAGCUGGAAUCUGUAGUAAUCGCGUCUCAAAAUGGCGCGGUGAAUAUGUCCCUGCUCCUUGCACACACCGCCCGUCAAACCACCCGAGUGAGGUCUUGAUGAGGCUGCGGUUGUCGCCGUGGUCGAAUCUGGGUUUCGCAAGGGGGGUUAAGUCG
rnacentral:rRNA from 1 species